ensembl:lncRNA
GAGUGUGAGUGAGUGAGUGAGAGUCAAGGACAAAAAAAGCUAUUACAGGAUGACAAAGGCAGUCCACUUCUGCUCUAAUCUGCGUGAAUACGUAAAUGACAGCAACUGUCUGUCCCUGAGAGACUACGGCAGAGGCUUGUCUCAUACAUUUAAACAACCCACUGCUCCAAUACACAAACCUGAGGGACACACCUAGGCCAAUUUCCUCAAGAUGUUUAACCAAUGUCCUGAUUCUCUGUAGGCAUGAAAGAUCUUAUGACACGUGUUGAGGUGUUUUAAAACAUAAUGUUUUAAGCGGUUUGUUUCGGAGAUUUAGAUCUAGGCCUUACCCAGGUGUAAUGGAUUGGUCGAUAUUCACAAUGUCACAUUUUGCUUGAAAUGAUGAAGCCAUUGUUUUUGUUUAGAGGAAAUCGAGUGACUAAUUGACAAAGGCCAGUUGAAAUACUCUUAAACCAACAACAACUUUAUCAUGGUCCCUUUGGUGUAGAUUACACAGUGUACACUGACUUGAUGUGUUCCAUGAAACUGCAUUUGACCAUGCUGUUUUCAUGCAUUAAAAGUGUUCACUUGAUAUUCUCAUGAGUUGUAGGUCUGCAUUGGUAGCAAACCUCCACAAGGAAGAGAUGUUUUAGACUGUCUUAUAAUUCACAGCUCUUGUUUAUUAUAAUGGUAUUUUCAAGGCUUUACAAUAUUGGUAAAGUGUGGCCAUGUUCCAAUUCCUUACUGCAUUUAGCGAUGCUGUUUGUCUUGUCAAUGCUGUUUUGUCUUGACUUAAUCUUCUUAUAAUUCAGAAGUGUUUUUCACAUCACCAGUUUUGACUCGACUCAUCUGUGCUGUUAGUGAGUGUGACAUAUUAGGGUGGUCAACAAUCUUUUUGGAUGUGUUCACUAUGGAAUUCUGACUACGGGCCAUUUCCUGAACGUUUUUCUACAUCUUCAAACUUCUAGAAGACAUGACUGUCGUGGUGGACACUUGCCAUUCUCACUUGGACUCACAGCAAACUCAUUUCUGUGAGACUGAAGUCAAUUUGAACUGAUUUACAGUAUAUGACUCUCAAGGCUAGGAUACAACAAUACAUUUCAGGGGGUGCCCAGAUAGGGUACUCCAGGGUAGGAGUACAUGUCAUUCCACUCCCUGGUCCAAAGGCCUACGAAGCAAAAAUAAGCCCCCUCCUGAAUUGUCUGUCCGCUUUACAUUGUACCCUUGGCCCACAAGGGUUGGGAGAGGGAAAGAACCAACACUCUUACCACAGGAGAUAUGAAGCAAAAAAGAGACACUAUAACAAAAAAUAAUGAAAUAUUUUAUGAAACAAGCACAUAUUGUAUUGAAUAGGAUUUGUUCAUUAUUGAUAAUGCUAUACAAGUUAGGCUGUAUUUGUCAGGGUUUUCGGGUUAGUGUAAAAGGUUGAGAUGCAAUUAGAUUUACUAUGAUUCCUGUGACUAUCUACUCUGGUAACAUUAAAGCAUAUUAUGAAAUACAAAAUUAAUUGAGUAAAUUGGUUCUAUGCUAAGUUGAACAUGUAAUGAUAAAGUAAUUCACUAGCCUGGUCCCAGAUCUGUUUUGUGAUGUCUUGGCUUAUGGUCAUUGUAACUCAGCACAAACAGAUCUGGGACCAGCUAGUAAUUCCCCAUGUGCUCAUCAAAAUCAUAUUCUGUUGUAAAUAAGAACGAAAUCUGAAGGCAGAGAACCGCUUAAUCUUUUACAAUGUUGUAGAUUUCUUUAUACAAUUUCAAAGAGCUCAUUUGUUCAAAUAUGUACUGUAUAACGAAGAGAGAAUAUCAUUCAAUAAAUUGCACACAAUACCUUUUCAAAA